rnacentral:lncRNA from 1 species
CUCCUGAGCAGUGUUUUGGCACUUAAUUAUGUUAUAAGUUCAGGAAAGAGAGAAUAUCUUCCUCAUUAUGACAAUUACCCUUAACAUGCUUGUGGUUCAGGUGUGGUGCCCACACUUUGCCAGCUGUUAGUAAUAACAUCUGCUCUCACCAGUUCCUUGGAAGAGCACUUGUUCCUCUUCCCCUCUCUGAUAUCUUUUUCUGAAGUAGUUUAUAAGAUUUCUGUUAUUUUUGUUGCUUGGUUCAUUUAAGAAUACUCUAGCUGGUCACCGGAGGUAUCUCAUUAUAUAUCUGCUACAUGGCUGCUUAAGAAAUGCCUUGUUAAUAUUCACUCACUGUGAAUUUAUCUGUUACUUAUUCUAGAGAAAAAUGAUAGUAACCAGAAAUCUUGAGCAGAUCUGCCAGUUUAUCUGGCAUCUUCUGGAUAGAAGCAAGUGCUAUGCAGCGCACAUCCAUGGGGAGCCUGAGACAUCCGACCUUCAUGUGUGUGUUAAAUUGAGGAAGAACUCAACCAGCGCUGUGAAACUAACACAGCACUGGAUUACAGAGCUGAGCAAGUGAGGAAGGAGUCAGAGCACUGGGCUCUCCGUUUAACAUCACCACAAAGAUGAUAAAACUCUUGUCCCUACAGAAACCAGAGCCACCGUGGCUUCUGACUACCAUGCCUUUUUCUGAGAGGUAAUCCCAACCCAAUUAGAAACCCUUGAUGGCACGCCUGUGCUUUUCACG